rnacentral:rRNA from 1 species
CUUAAAGCAAGAAAACCAACCGGGAUUGCCCUAGUAACGGCGAGUGAAGCGGCAAGAGCUCAAAUUUGAAAGCUGGCCCCCUCGGGGUCCGCAUUGUAAUUUGCAGAGGAUGCUUCGGGAACGGCCCCCAUCUAAGUGCCCUGGAACGGGCCGUCAUAGAGGGUGAGAAUCCCGUCUGGGAUGGGGUGGCCGCGCCCGUGUGAAGCUCCUUCGACGAGUCGAGUUGUUUGGGAAUGCAGCUCUAAUUGGGUGGUAAAUUUCAUCUAAAGCUAAAUAUUGGCCGGAGACCGAUAGCGCACAAGUAGAGUGAUCGAAAGAUGAAAAGCACUUUGAAAAGAGAGUUAAACAGCACGUGAAAUUGUUGAAAGGGAAGCGCUUGCGACCAGACUCGCCCGCGGGGUUCAGCCGGCACUCGUGCCGGUGUACUUCCCCGCGGGCGGGCCAGCGUCGGUUUGGGCGGCCGGUCAAAGGCCUCUGGAAGGUAACGCCUCUCGGGGCGUCUUAUAGCCAGGGGUGCCAUGCGGGCCUGCCCGGGACCGAGGAACGCGCUUCGGCUCGGACGCUGGCAUAGAUGGUCAUAAGCGACCCGUCUUGAAACACGGACCGAGGAAGUCUAACAUCUACGCCGAAUGUUCGGGUGUCAAACCCCGUGCCGCGCGAUGAAAACGGAGGGGAGGUGGAGAACCCCCCCCGGAGGUGGAACCAUGCGAACCA